rnacentral:lncRNA from 1 species
AGAGAACCUAGAAAUAAACAGAACCUGCAUCACAGCAAGGCUUUGUGCUGCCCAAGUCACAAGAGCAAGCUCCUGGAUAAGGAACCCCAUUCAUGCCUGCCCUUCUUCCAGUGAUUUUCUUAUCAUCCGAGUCAGUCAAAGGACAGCCACUGCACUAUCAUGGCAGGAGCUGGGAUGGGCUGGGCUGGGAGCCCCAUGCAUGAAAUACUGUCUGUGCAGCAGAAGAGCUCAGAGUUAAUGGGGAGAUCCUGGUAACAAAGCAAUAGGAUUCCCUAUGAUGAGUCCUUCCCUAGAGGCAGGCGUAUACUACUUCAUGCACACAAAGAGAGGACUAAUUGAUUCUCUUGAGAGAGUCACAGAAGAAGUGACGUUUGAAGUAGAUGUUGCAGGAUGCGCAGGAAUUGCCAAACAGAAGGAGAGAAAACAUGGCCUGUCAGAGACAACAUGGAGAGGGGGAGAGGCAUGAUAAAGUGGAAGUGCAGAUGCUGAGAGAUUGAAGAGGACCCAAACGUGAGUGAUAGGAGCGGAAGAUAAGUUCCAGGUAAAGAGAUUCUGCUGAAAUCAUGGAAUAAGGAUGAGGUUUUUUAUUGUGCUGGGUAGAUUUGCAUGUUCUAGAGAAGAUAUGCAAUGGCAUGCUUAAUAUACAAUGAUGCGGGGACUGAGGGGCACCAGACUGGAAUCAUGGUGAUGAAAGAGAGGAAUGUGACAUGGUGGUGGAGAAGAGAAGCAAUUCUGGACUGAUGGAAUUUAAUAAUAGAUAUUGAGGCCACAGGACCAACACUGUAGCAAGGAUAUUCACAACCCCAUUCACAAACACAACCCUAUUUCUGAGUCAUGUUGAUAGGAGAUUUCAUCUCUUUUUGGUCAGUAGCACCACAAUACUGCUUUGAUACCCAAAUUACCCAGUGUCAUCAUCAAGGCGGUUGUGUUAAUUUGGUAGGGCUGCCAAACAAAGUACCACAGACAGGGCGGCAUGAACAACAGAUAUUCCUCGUCUCACAGCUCUAGAGGCUACAAGUCUGACAUCAAGGCAUCAGCAGGAUUGUUUCCUUCUGAGGCCUCUCCCCGUGGCUGUAAUGGCUGUCCUCUCAGGGUCUUUUGUCUGUGCAUGUCUGUGCCCUAAUUUCCUCUUCUUAUAAGCAC